UACGUAGGGUGCGAGCGUUAAUCGGAAUACUGGGCGUAAAGCGUGCGCAGGCGGUGAUGUAAGACAGUUGUGAAAUCCCCGGGCUCAACCUGGGAACUGCAUCUGUGACUGCAUCGCUGGAGUGCGGCAGAGGGGGAUGGAAUUCCGCGUGUAGCAGUGAAAUGCGUAGAUAUGCGGAGGAACACCGAUGGCGAAGGCAAUCCCCGUGGGCCUGCACUGACGCUCAUGCACGAAAGCGUGGGGAGCAAACAGG
rnacentral:rRNA from 1 species